rnacentral:rRNA from 1 species
ACGGGGUGCAGCAGGCGCGAAAACUUUACAAUGCUGGAAACAGCGAUAAGGGGACCUCGAGUGCCAGGUUACAAAUCUGGCUGUCGUGAUGCCUAAAAAGCAUUGCAUAGCAAGGGCCGGGCAAGACCGGUGCCAGCCGCCGCGGUAACACCGGCGGCUCGAGUGGUAACCGUUAUUAUUGGGUCUAAAGGGUCUGUAGCCGGCCGGGUAAGUCUCUUGGGAAAUCUGGCAGCUUAACUGUCAGGCUUUCAGGAGAUACUGUCUGGCUCGAGGCCGGGAGAGGUGAGAGGUACUUCAGGGGUAGGGGUGAAAUCUUGUAAUCCUUGAAGGACCACCAGUGGCGAAGGCGUCUCACCAGAACGGACCUGACGGCAAGGGACGAAAGCUAGGGGCACGAACCGGAUUAGAUACCCGGGUAGUCCUAGCCGUAAACGAUACUCGCUAGGUGUCGGCAACGGUGCGACCGUUGUCGGUGCCGUAGGGAAGCCGUGAAGCGAGCCACCU